UACAUAGGGUGCAAGCGUUGUCCGGAAUUAUUGGGCGUAAAGAGCUCGUAGGCGGUUGGUCGCGUCCGCUGUGAAAACCCGAGGCUCAACCUCGGGCCUGCAGUGGGUACGGGCCAACUAGAGUGCGGUAGGGGAGAUCGGAAUUCCUGGUGUAGCGGUGGAAUGCGCAGAUAUCAGGAGGAACACCAAUGGCGAAGGCAGAUCUCUGGGCCGUAACUGACGCUGAGGAGCGAAAGCGUGGGGAGCGAACAGG
rnacentral:misc_RNA from 1 species